GACGAACGCUGGCGGCGUGCUUAACGCAUGCAAGUCGAACGCUGAAGCUUGGUGCUUGCACUGGGUGGAUGAGUGGCGAACGGGUGAGUAAUACGUGAGUAACCUGCCCUUGACUCUGGGAUAAGCCUGGGAAACUGGGUCUAAUACUGGAUACGACAUGUCACCGCAUGGUGGUGUGUGGAAAGGGUUUUACUGGUUUUGGAUGGGCUCACGGCCUAGCAGCUUGUUGGUGGGGUAAUGGCUCAGCAAGGCGACGACGGGUAGCCGGCCUGAGAGGGUGACCCGCCACACCGGGAACCGGACACCACCCAGAGCCUACGGGAGGCAGCAGUGGGGAAUAUUGCACAAUAGGCGGGAGCCUGAUGCAGCGGCCCCGCGUUAGGGAUGACCGCCUUCGGGUUGUAAACCUCUUUCAGCACGGAAGAAGCGAAAGUGACGGUACGUGCAGAAGAAGCGCCGGCUAACUACGUG
rnacentral:rRNA from 1 species